rnacentral:tRNA from 1 species
GCCAGAGUGGCGAAAUGGUAGACGCAGUGGAUUCAAAAUCCACCGGUGGCAACACCGUGCCGGUUCGAGUCCGGCCUCUGGUA